rnacentral:lncRNA from 1 species
UGUAGGAACGUGUAAGUAUAUACAAACACAGCCGCAGCUGCUACAGUGUCUAGGUCGCUUGUACCAAAGCUUGGUGGAGUGACUGCGCACAUUAUUAUUCCAGCUGGAAGGAUGCCCGCCAGUGCAUGUUAGCUACAGCCGGAUCUCCGUCCACUGUACGAGAUUGCGCCCCUUGAGCAAACAAAGGGAGAGAAUGCUUCCACCACGUCCAGCUGACAAACCCUGGAGGUCCUAGCUGCCAUUUAUUUUAAUCUGGGUCUACUAUCUACACUAGUCUUUGUGAACACACCUCUGGCGAACCUUAUUAUCUACGCUGACAUCUGCGAGACCAUCGAGAUCUGUUUUGUUCCCAGAAAUCUUUUACCUUCUGUUACCUGGCCGUUUCUAAUCCGUGGUCUGACACUCCAACCACAAUGGGAAUUUACUGGCUAACCAUAGCAACGUCCCUAGUCGUCAUGGCUACAGCUGCUCCGACGGAGGAGCCGACAGAAGAAAGCAAGGAGAAAUGUGUGGAGCAGAAUCAGGUGUGUGACGCGGAGACCUCUGGAUUCUUAUUCUUCAACAGUCCGUGCUGUGCUUCCUUCCAGCGCUGCGUCCGUCACACGACGGUGGAGGGUGGUGUGGAAUACAGGUGCACCUCGAUUUUCAUUGGGUAGAUCACCUGAAGAAAACCCAGCAUCUCCUCCUUCUCGAGCCAGUCGGAUCUUCUGGUCGACUGGGCUUUCUCAACAACAAGCAUGCAGUAACGACAUCGAUGUUUUCGUCUUCUGCUACAAAAUACUUUUUUUAAUUCAGUGAAAACUUUUCAUUCGUUCCUCAAGUACGGAUUAAUUUUAAAUGAGUAAGUAACGCAAGUAACCGCUGGUCUCUUUGUCGAGAAGAUAAAUAUUACCAUUAUGACUAUCAGCAACCUUACGACUGCUGCAAGAUCUGAAUUCAAUGUGGCUAAAAUAAAAACAAAUUUUUAAUCAGC